CUCCCCCCGUCUGGCAUCACGUCGGUUCAAUAACACGGACCUUGACAGUGUGUUGAAUUUGUACGUACGUCAAUUGACACAAUGUGCAGCAGCAGGUCCAUUGUUGGGUAUCUUUGCACGCGUUUAAUUGCCAUUGCACAGCGCGCGGCUACGAUUUUUCUACGGUCGAAAUUCUCAUUUAAAGGCAACUAAUAAAUGGUUCUAGAGCAACUUUAUACCGGCGAUAUUGCUUUUAAUUAUGUUGUUAUUUGUUUGGAGAACCCGAAAAACAUUACCCCGAGAUCAUGUAACAGGAGGCGGUCAUGUUUGAUAGCUGAAUAGAGAUGAAAGAAAACAAAAAGAGGAUAAAUGUUUUUCCAAGGACCCUCACCACCUGUCGAGGAUUCUCGUAUGUAAUAGCACUGUGCACACACACAAGUAUAUAUCAGUGUGUGUGUGUGUGGCACCCCUCCACCACCCACUUUUAACUCCCCGCUUCGGGGCCGGAAGUGGGAGGUUUCGAUCGAAUUCACGACAGACACGCCGAAACAAAAAAAAGAAUUGCUCACGCUUCGAUGCUCACAUCUAGCGGCCGUAAUAUUGACUUUAUGAUUGAAACUGUUUCCAUUGCCAUUUGGCUCUUGUUAUUGUUAACAGUUGGGUUCACUUUUCACUUGUCAUCGACAACACAUUUCGCCACGAAACAGAUAAGGAAUUUCUCGGUUUUGCUGAUAGAGAAUGACAUGACCAGGAACCAGGAGCUUCCAGCAUCGUAAAUUUUAACAGCACGAUGCGAUAAAAGGUGUAUCGUAUCCCUACAGGCUCAAGAAAAGCUGAAUACUGAAUAUCACUGAAUCUCAUCUUCUGUUGAAGACGACACAUCAUACCUGGUGAAGUUGAUGACAUUGAUUCCGAAAUCUGCCUGUCGCCAGCUCUUUCUGAUUCCUGUCCUGUUGCUGAAGGUACACCUGUUUCGAAAGUAAAACUCUCCAAAGAAUAUUAAUUUUUCAGAAUAGAGAGUUUUGCCGAGUAGGUCGAAAGUUCUUCUUUAGCUAAAGCUUAUAAAGCUAAAGCUCUUGCUUUAUAGCUAAUUUACUUAUUUUUCAUUUAUGUUUGCGUCGGAAUGGUCUGUGUUAAUUCUGAAUCCGCCAUACUGACCUUUCCAAAGGCAGUGAUCUAAUGAAUGAUCCCAAAAGUUGAACGUUAGUCUUCCUUUUCCGACUCAUUUUUUAUUGAUGGUCGCGCACUGGUGCUUAGGCUUAGAAGUCUGACUUUUGUUGUGUAAUGCUUUAUUGCAGUUAGUGGUUUCGUCUCAAGGAUGUUUUCUGGGAUUGUUCGCUAAUUAAGUUAAAAUGAUCAUUUUCUGCCUUACCAGCGUUCACUGUCUGGUUUUUCAAUUAAUUUUUGCAUUCAAAGUCAGUAACUGUUCUUUUUAAACGAUCUCCGUUCGAUGUUCUCCAUAGUUUUUAUUACUAAUUGGUGUCACUAAACAUUUUUUUUUUUUAAUUUGAAUUAUCCGAAGAGUUUCUGAACGAGUUUUCGUUUCCACCAGUAAAGUUUUAGUUGUCGAUUGUCUCACAUCCUUGUCUCACCUCCCUCUGAAUCCCAGAGGGUUACUUCUCCAAAGGUGAAAUAAUGGGUAUAAAUUGAAUAAGACAGCCCUUCGGUUUGCUCCGGUGAUAGCGGUAUUUGUUCUUCUCUCAUAAGUCAUAUUAAGUAUUUCUUUCUUUCAACCUAAUUAUUUAUACUCAAGUAGAAAGAAUACAAAGUACAAACAAAAAAGUAAAUUGUAAAUUAUUAAUCAACAAUACAUCCAAAGAUAAUUAUUAAGUUAUAUUAAUCAUCAAAACAUAUUGUUGCAGAUGGUCCCAAUUCAUGUCGGAAAGUGGCGUUGGAUAGUUUUCAUUUUUUCAAUCCGAAGUUUCUAAGUUGUCGGACGACCUGUACUGCCCAGUCGACAAAACCUAGACAACGCCCAGGAACAUGGCAUCAGACAAGGCGAAGAAGACCUCCGGGAAGGAACGCGGAAGGCAAUUAGCCAAGUACAAGUAGCCUACCAUCAAUUCUUUGAUUAAAAAUCGUCGUUCUGCUGAAUGCUCCACCCUAUUAAUACAGGUCACUAACCACAGUGUAAACUUGUUUUUUCAAUCAUGUUUCUACAAUAAGCUAUGGGAACAUAAUCAAGGCCAUUGGGUAAUCUUCAUCAGGAAACUUAAAGAAGUCACAUGAAAAGAUGCAGGGCACAUACCAACAUGUGUUGUAUUUUUCUGAAUGUUUUACUCAAGCAGUAGAUUCAACAUGACUAACUGUUUGAUGCCAAAGUUAGUUGGAACUCUCACAGAUAAUCUUUGCUGCUGCCUUACAGCCACAGGCAGGAAAUGAUUCUUUUCUUCACAAAAUUGGAAAGCUGCUGCAGUAAUCUAGUGUCCAUCACGCCAUCCCCACUUGAUUCAUUUCGUGUCAGCUAGUGAAAGGCGUCACGAAUUCAAAUUUGGCUGCUGCGUGCUGUCUGCAAGCAAGCAAUCCAAUUGGCGGUCGCUAGGUGGCGCGAGUGUCUUCAGGGACCAAAUUCUGCCAUUUUGAUCCAUGACACAGCAGAAGUGGGAUGCCGGUGUGAAGUUUCGCAUGAUGAAAAUUUCAAUACCAAUUUGUCAAAUCAUCUAACUCGGACUUGAGUGCCUGUUCAUUUUGCCGAAAUGUCGUGCCUCGUGUGUCUUGCUGCCUGUACCUGUACGUCUCGUGUUCUCGUCCCAUGCAAAAGCAAAAGUCCGCUGUUGGUUACCUUGUUGCAGCCUGAUGGUGUAAGAUGUGAUGAAGACUAAUUGAACUGUGGUUCCAGUGUUAUUCAGAAGUAGCUGGCGGUCUCCUGGAGUAGCCUGAAGUAGCCUGAAGUAGCCUGAAGUUGCCAGUGGUAUCCGGGUUGCUGACUUUAAAUAUUUUUCUCUGUUCUCAUUUGUGUAUUUUGCCCUGCCAGUCAUCCCGUGUUGCUGACUUGAAAUAUUUUUAUCCAUUUUUAUUUAUGGUUUUGCUCUGCCAGUGAGCAAAAUGGUUGAAUUGGUUUCAUCUGUUGUCUUUUUGUUUUACUUGGGCAGUAUACGAUUGUGGCAAACUGAUUCUAUGUCAGUUUUGAUACAGUCGACAACUGCUAGAUUAAAUUCCGGCUUUCUGCACCAACAAAAUAAUAACGGCACAUGUUAU